GAAGGAGCCAGAAGACUUCCCAGGAAGCAGAGCCUGCCGUUGUCUUGAGAGACAAGGCUGCUACCAAGGAGUUAACUCACUGUCGUUCACCGCUCUUUCACAAUCUCCAGAAGUGCUAGCGGAAUGAGAACGUUCCCAUGAUAGAGAUGGCAGAAGAGGGGAAGAGAGAAGGAACAAGGGGCUUAGAUAACUCAUAAAUGAGUCAUCAGCCCAUAAACAAGAAAGAGUCAGCAAUAUGACCAUGCCUGCUGAAAUAAAGGAGCAAAAAGAGCUCUCAAUUUUGAGAAGGUGUCCCUAAGAAUUGAGGCAGUGUGGUAAUUUAAACAGUAGCUCUGGAACCCCCUGCAAGCACGCUGGUAUACCUCAGUAAGUCUUUGUUGAUGGAUGAGCUUGGCUAUGAAGAAAGCUGCUUAGGAGUUACCAUCUCCACAACAGGCAAAGUAAUUGAGGAUCUGCCUACAAGCAUGCCUCCUAGGGCAGAGGAAGAAGGCGUAAAACUAGAUACCGGAAGAAGAGCCCGCCGUUGCCUAGAAUGAAGAAUGGGAAGAAUUUAACCUACUUUUCAACAUGAAGCCUUCACUCAUUCUUGGCCUUCUCUUUGUCGUCUGUCUCGACUUCUCUGUCCUAAGGUCUAAGUCCCCAGUGGACCUACCAGGAAGAGGGGGCCACUGCCUUAUUCCAUCUAAAUGCCUCUGUCAGAGCCCACCGCAAAUUUUACCUUCUCCACGAAACCUUCCUGCCGAAUUUGACUCUCGCUGCUCUCAACUGUUAGGGUGUUUAUUGCUGGUGCAUUAAGUUCAGAGCUUUGUAAUUUAGAUGCCGUGCGUGGCUAUGUCUCUGGCACUGGAUUUGUCUCAACUCUUCUCCCACCCCCACAGUGUCCAGGCCAACGGCACAUUCCAGUUACCCAUUUGCUGAACAAAUGUUUAUCGAUCAUCCAUGUGUGCCUUGUAUCAUAUUCCAUUAUGAGAGUAAAAAGCGGAAAAAGA